rnacentral:rRNA from 1 species
GCUAACGCUUAAGUUCCCCGCGGGGAGACGGCCGCAAGGUAAAACUCAAAGGAAUUGACGGGGGCCCGCACAAGCAGCGGAGCAUGUGGUUAAUUGACGCAACGCGAAGAACCUUCCAAGGCUUGACAUAUACCGGAAAGCCUAGAGAUAGUGCCCCCCUUGUGGUCGGUAUACAGGUGGUGCAUGGCGUGUCAGCUCGUGUCUGAGAUGUUGGGUUAAGUCCCGCAACGAGCGCAACCCUUGUUCUGUGUUGCCAGCAUGCCCUUCGGGGUGAUGGGGACUCACAGGAGACUGCCGGGGUCAACUCGGAGGAAGGUGGGGACGACGUCAAGUCAUCAUGCCCCUUAUGUCUUGGGCUGCACACGUGCUACAAUGGCCGGUACAAUGAGCUGCGAUGCCGCGAGGCGGAGCGAAUCUCAAAAAGCCGGUCUCAGUUCGGAUUGGGGUUGCAACUCGACCCCAUGAAGUCGGAGUUGCUAGUAAUCGCAGAUCAGCAUUGCUGCGGUGAAUACGUUCCCGGGCCUUGUACACACCGCCCGUCACGUCACGAAAGUCGGUAACACCCCUAGUCGGGGCCCAACCCCUUGUGGGAGGGAGCUGUGAAGGUGGGACUGGCGAUUGGGACCGAA